rnacentral:rRNA from 1 species
CGAACCGUCCAAACGUUAUUCGGAAUCACUGGGCUUACAGAGUUCGUAGGCGGUCUGGAAAGUUGGGUGUGAAAUCCCUCGGCCUAACCGAGGAACUGCGCUUGAAACUACCAGACUCGAGGGAGAUAGAGGAAAGCGGAACUGAUGGUGGAGCGGUGAAAUGCGUUGAUAUCAUCAGGAACACCGGUGGCGAAGGCGGCUUUCUGGGUCUUACCUGACGCUGAGGAACGAAAGCCAGGGGAGCGAACGGGAUUAGAUACCCCGGUAGCCCUGGCCGUAAACGAUGAGCACUAGGUCGUGGGCCUCCACAGGCCCUCGGCCGUAGCGAAAGUGUUAAGUGCUCCGCCUGGGGAGUAUGGUCGCAAGGCUG